ACCAGCAGAGUGAUUGCAUUUUGUAUAAUCGUUCGUAACCUCCCUCUCCUCUCUCUCUGUAGACACUACUGACUCACUCAGCCAACAACUAGCCAAAUUCAAUCCGAACCCAAAUUCAGAAACCCAAAUCAACAAACCCAUCAAUCAAAGCUGUAGACGAAGAUGUUGAGGAAAUCGACAACCCCAAAUUUUGAAUUUCCAUCCUUUGAUACAUAUAUAGAUCUGCCUAUAUAUACAGGGUUAUUCCAUCAUCCCUCUUGGCAUUUUAGCCCCAACAAUAUGGGAGGCUUGGGUUUGUGUGAAGGUCUUGUGAUGUCUUGGUUUUCAUCUGCGAUGUGUGGUGUUGGAGUUUAUUUGACUGAAGGAUGCUAAGGAGCUUGCUAGCUUUAGAUUCUCGAAGACUAUCAUUUUGGAAGCUUCAUAUCUAGUUUAAAGGAGCUAUCGAAUAUCAAGUGCUUGGUGAUGAUUGUGAAUUUAGUUGGUUGUAUUUUCUUUUCCUUAUUUUUCUUUCUUCUUGCAAUGGACUCUGGCUGGGUAUGUAAAUUGAGUAUUAGUACUCUUUAUGUAUGUUUUUUCAUAACCUUUUAAUGAAGGUCUUAUGAUUGGUUCCACACAAACAUGACAAGUUGCUGAAAUUUCUAUAAUGCAAUUACUUGUGACAUUGGAUUCAAAA